CAAGCGAACACAAGGUUCGGUUUUUCUCCAGGACUUUGUACAUUUUCUACUAACCUCAAAGCUGAAUUUUUAGACUACCUAAAGUUUCCAUAAUUGGUGCCCUUUGCUAUUGCUUCAAGGCCAGCCAGACCUGAACGCUUCAACGGUGAGCUUGCCCGGGUGAAACGUCUGCCAAAGAGAUGGUUUUACCCUGUAAAAUAAGCGAACAGGGGGUCAACGCUGUCUCCUGUCUUGCUAAUUGGACGAGUUUGCAGUCGGAGCAUCGACAGAUUGAAUCAUCAAGCUGUUCUUCUGCAAAGCUCCAGGGUUUUCUCUCAUUGACUGUUAAUGACCAUUCCAUCUUCAACGCGAGAUCGACACGAACAGACAAAAAGCUUCAUCCUUUCACUUUUGUUGAUCGUCCAUAUGAGUGACACAGUCAGAUAUUUUCUUUCUAACAGUAAACAACACAGCCAGGUCAUCGUGGGGAAGUGGACGCUGCAAAAGGAAAUUCGGACCGUGGCGUCUGUUCUACUGUGAAGACACACAGAAGAGUCCUAGCAUGAAUUAUUCAGCGUUUCUUAGAGACCGUUCUCUGCAAGCAUACAGAUUUCGGCACCAAACGGAAACCUUCGUGAUGUUGGCGCAGACUGGAAGAAAAACCCAUUUCUGUCUUUCCAACAAAGGAGGCAGUCGGUCCUGGCAGUAGUGCAGAGGAGGAGUGUGACCGCUGCGACCAGCCUUCCCGCUGAUUUCCUGACAAACCUACCAUUACAGGACAAUCACUUUUCUCUGUCUCUCAGCCCUCCCCGCGCACACGAUUUUCAGAAGUAGGCCGCGAGCGGGAGCCCAAUUCUAAUGCAGACGGUUUGCAGACCUGCUACUGUACCGAGCUCCCAGAGGGCCCUAUUAUCGGUGACUC